rnacentral:rRNA from 1 species
UACAGAGGGGGCAAGCGUUGUUCGGAAUUACUGGGCGUAAAGGGCGCGUAGGCGGCCUGCUAAGUCGAACGUGAAAUCCCCGGGCUCAACCCGGGAACUGCGUCCGAUACUGGCAGGCUUGAAUUCGGGAGAGGGAUGCGGAAUUCCAGGUGUAGCGGUGAAAUGCGUAGAUAUCUGGAGGAACACCGGUGGCGAAAGCGACCAUCUGGGGCGUUACUGACGCUGAGGUUCGAAAGCUCGGGGAGCAAACAGG